CCUACGGGUGGCAGCAGUGGGGAAUAUUGCGCAAUGGGCGAAAGCCUGACGCAGCGACGCCGCGUGAGGGAUGAAGGUCUUCGGAUCGUAAACCUCUGUCAGCAGGGAAGAACAGUCACUGUGCUAAUCAGCAGUGAAUUGACGGUACCUGCAAAGGAAGCACCGGCUAACUCCGUGCCAGCAGCCGCGGUAAUACGGAGGGUUCGAGCGUUAAUCGGAAUUACUGGGCGUAAAGCGCUCGUAGGCGGUAUGUCAAGUCAAGGGUGAAAUCCCCGCGCUCAACGUGGGAACUGCAUUUGAAACUGGCAAACUGGAGUGUGUGAGAGGAUAGCGGAAUUCCAGGUGUAGGAGUGAAAUGCGUAGAUAUCUGGAGGAACAUCAGUGGCGAAGGCGACUAUCUGGCACAUAACUGACGCUGAGGAGCGAAAGCGUGGGGAGCAAACAGGAUUAGAUACCCGGGUAGUC
rnacentral:rRNA from 1 species